UAUAUACUCCCUCCGUCCGGAAAUACUUGUCAUCAAAAUGGAUAAAAGGGAUGUAUCUAGAUGUAUUUUAGUUUUAGAUACAUCCCUUUUUGUCCAUUUUUAUGACAAGUAUUUUCGGACGAAGGGAGUAUAAU
rnacentral:pre_miRNA from 1 species